UAUUAUACCAAAAACAAAAAGAUUAAUAAAUACCGGAUCAUUAAUAGAUAUUUUCUUUAAAUUUAAAGAAUUUGGCGGUGGUUUAGUCUUGUCAGAGGAACUUGUUUGUUAAAUCGAUAAUCCCCGUAAAAUCUUGCUCGUUUUUGUUUUCAGUUUAUAUACCGUCAUUAGUAGAUAAUUUUUAAAGAAUAAAUUAUUGGGUCUUAAAAGAGUAAUUAAGUAAAAUUAGAUCAAGGUGUAGCUUAUGAACGAGUCUAAAUGAGUUACAAUAAAUAUUUAUUUAUAACGAAAUGAUAAAGGAAGAGUUAUCAGGAAGGGGGAUUUGAUUGUAAUGUAAGUUUAAUAUGCUUAAGAGAUAUAAGCUCUAAGCCAU
rnacentral:rRNA from 1 species